CAAAGAAAAAGUGUGAAUUUUCAAGGAAAUUAAGUGAAAAAGGUGGUGUGCCCUUCGACAAAGGCAAGGAAAUUACGCUUGGGGAUCACUAAGCUGAGUACACCCGAAAUCUGAACUUUUGAAACUUACUCGGGAUAGUCGGUAGAUAGCCGAUUGCAUCAAGGACUUCAUUUAGCCUUGCAUAGACAAAAUUGUAAGUUCACAGACUUGCACCUUAUUGGUUAGUUAUGGGCUCACAUGUCAUUGUAAAAGCAAUUUUAUACUUCAGUUAUCUGAUUUA